GUUUUAUGACAUUUUAGAACCUUUUAUGGUUGUUGUAACUUUACUGAUAAUACUUCUAUUCUUCUUCUAAUUAUUUGUUUCUUGCUAAUUUUACUGCGAGCUUCUCUUUCUUGGAAAUGGGUUUUAGUUUGCAAUCAAUUAUUUCUUGAUAGUGCUCUUUAAAUAGACUCAAACCUUGGUGAACAGCAAAAGAUGUUAAAUGAAAAGUUUAUUGCUUUUCUGAAAAAUGUUCACACUUUCAAUGUCAAGAACAAUUAAGAUUGCCCAAUUUAGGUUAUGUUGGUAUAGUAUUUAAUAUUUUAUGCAUGUAUCUACUUAUAUAAUCGUAAUUCUAGUUAUAAUUUGCAUGAUUUGUAGAACAAUCAUGAAUUUUCUUGUGGGUCAUAUAUUAAAUUCCGAUUGGAGGAAAUAAGGAAAUGCUAUUGCUACUUUUAAUUGGGUGGGUUGGUUGGUUUAGAGGACUACACAAGAAUGGAAACCAACUAAUUUGAUCAUUCUUAGAUUGCAAUUGGAAG
rnacentral:misc_RNA from 1 species